ensembl:lincRNA
CAGAGGGAAGCGCAGGAAUAAGAGGGAGAAAGCCCGGAAGCAAAGCUAACCCAUUGGAGCACCAAAUCUGUGGGUCCUCAUGGCUGGCCAGCAGCCAAGGCCCACCACCCACACCAUCACUUUCUGAGAGAAAGGCUGCCUGUGCCUGGAUGCCACCUUGAGACCACAGGAACGUCCUGUCCCGGCCUCCAAGUAGCUGCUGCCCGCCUUGACCAAGCAGCACUGAGGGACUUUCCCAAACCAAUUCUUGCUGUGUGGUGGAUGACUCAGAACCGUCGCUGUUGUCCAAGGAUGGCUCCUUCACUCAGGUGGCUGCCCCUCCCACAUCUUGGGCCUCUUAUUUGGUGUCAGCUUCCUCCAAGCCACUUCUCACCACAUGGUGGUUCCAAGGGAGUCUUCCUCCCUCCACAAGGAUGAGAAUGGAAACAGCCCAGGGAAGACUUGCCUCUGGAAGCAUCCAUGUCAUAUCCACUCUAGUGAAUCAAUCAGUCAAAGCACUGGUUUCAUUCAAG